CGGGUCGCACAGAGUGAGAGAAAGGGAAAGCACGGGGGCAGAAUAGAAAAAAGAGAGACCCGUGCCAGCCACCGCCGUUUCUGCAGCUCGAAACCCCGCUGCCGCCACUGGAGUGUGCACUACCGAUAAGGGUUUUUAGUUUUGGCUUUUAUUCUUUUGGAUUCCGGGAACCUUUAUCGUCAUUGCGUGUCUAUUUCAGUUAUCCGCCGCCGCUGCUUGUUGUUCUGAACUGUUGCAUCAUCGUUGCCGCCAUUAGGGUCACUAGGAACGUGGCAGUGAGCACCGAAACCACCAUCGGAGUUACCGUUAUUUCAGUUCAGUCGUUCGUCCUUGUUUGGGUAAGCGGAUCAAGUUACGAGUCUUGAUUGCUGAGUUCUAUGGUUGUUGCAUACAACAUCAAGGUGCUGCAUUGUCACUGGAACUGCUGUUGCUCUGUUUUCUCGAUUAUUCAUAAGCCCAGGUGGAGCUACUGUUGUUGGCUGGUGCCUUUAUGGCUGUUGCAGCUGCAAAAUCUAGUUGGAGUUGACGACGUUGUUUUCGGACUGGGGGAAAGGAAUUUAAUUGACACGUUAGGUUUGGGUUUUAACUAUUUGAGGUAGGGGUUUUUCUUAAAAUCUAUUUUACAUUACAAAGUUGUUAUAAAUAUAUAUUAAUGUGAGAAACAUAUGUCUGUGAUUAUGAUUGUCUUAUAAAUGUGGUUGUUUGCUGGACUGAAUGACUGAUUGCUCGAUUAUUUGAGUAGUUUGUGAUUGCUAAAAAGAAAUUAGUUUGAAAGGUUAUUUAGUUGAUUAUUAUGAAAAGUGGCUUUCUUGGUUUUGAAGCCAUUUUUGAUAGUAUAAACAAAUCGGCUCUAAAAGUGAUUUGAAAUAUGAAACUGAAUUAAUUUUAGAAGCGGUUUAAUUUUAAGUUAGUCUGACUUUAUAAAUGAUUUAGUAUAUGAGCUGGUUUGAUUUUAAAAAGAGAUUUAUUAUUGGCAUUGUUUCGCUUUGAAAAUUAUUUGAUAUUGGGACUGGUUGAAUUUUGGAAAUAAUUGAGAUCUGGAAAUGGUUGAGAAAUAGGUUGAGAAAAGUUUGGAUGAGACCCGAAAAGGGUGGCAGUGUUCGAGUUUUAGAGGAGAUGCUGUCGAAAUUUUAUAAAAAUUAGAAGUUUUAUUUGAAGUAACUUAUUAGAAAGAUUUGUUUUUUUAAAUAUUAUAUGUUUUAAGAUUUAUUUAUUUAUCAGAGAAAGGAUUAUGUUUUGGAUUGGGAUUUAUUAAUGGAUGGAAUGAAAAGAAGGAUGAUGAGGAUUUUUUUUGAAAUAUAGUUUUCGAAAUGAAUUUGGAAAUGAGAUUUGGAUUGGUGAAUGAUUAUGAUGUUGAGAAUAUUGAGAAUAUUGAGAUAUGAAUUUUGAAUUAUUCACAAGGCUUAUGAAUUUGAAUUAUCUGAGAUACGAGUUUUCCUGGAUAAAGUACCAUGGCUUGCCACCACUUGUACCAGGUUGAAAAACUUGAUACUCUGUUGACCCUACGAUGUAAGUAUGAUCGGGUACUAUAUAAAUUCCCGGGAAUGUAACCCAAAAUGAGCAAUAUUGAUUAUUUGAGGAAAAGCUAUGCAUAGACUCUUGGGGAUGCACGUUGGGGGACAGUCUAAGGACAAUUCAGACUUGUCGGGUUGGCUGGAUAACCGACAGAUGAGCCUCAUCAGUCAUAGGACAGGCAUGCAUCAUAUGCAUUUGUGUGCUUUGCCUAAUUGCUAAACUGUUCUUAACUGUUACUUGAACUAUUUGCUGUAACUGCUACCUACUUGUGCUUUCCUUGUCUGUCUUGCCUGUGUUUGUCCUGGCAUACCACAUUUGAGAAUGAACUUUGAUGCUGAACUAAUGAUUGUGUUGUUUGAUUGCUUGGUUAAUUUCUGAUUGGGAUUUUCUUAUAAGAAAAGAAAGGUUUCGGAUUUCUGAAAGAUUAAAUAUUGAUUUUUUUGAAAAGGUUUUGAACGAUUUCCUAUUGGCUUUUAAAAGAUUCACAAGGCAAUGAUAAUCACUGAGUUUGAAAACAAUUUUUUUAUUGAGUAUUUUCUUAUGACAACUUUAAAACUUCGU